GUGCAGCAGUCGAGAAUUUUUCUCAAUGGGCGAAAGCCCGAAGGAGCGACGCCGCGUGGGGGAUGAAUGGCUUCGGCCCGUAAACCCCUGUCAUUUGUGAACAAAUUGUUUCACCUAACACAUGAAGCAUUGAUAGUAACGGAAGAGGAAGGGACGGCUAACUCUGUGCCGGCAGCCGCGGUAAUACAGAGGUCCCAAGCGUUGUUCGGAUUCACUGGGCGUAAAGGGUGCGUAGGCGGUUAGGUAAGUCUGACGUGAAAUCUCCGGGCCUAACCCGGAAACUGCGUUGGAUACUAUCCGGCUAGAGGAAUGGAGGGGAGACUGGAAUACUUGGUGUAGCAGUGAAAUGCGUAGAUAUCAAGUGGAACACCAGUGGCGAAGGCGAGUCUCUGGACAUUUCCUGACGCUGAGGCACGAAAGCCAGGGGAGCAAACGGGAUUAGAUACCCGUGUAGU
rnacentral:rRNA from 1 species